GAUGAACGCUGGCGGCGUGCCUAAUACAUGCAAGUCGAGCGAAUGGAUUAAGAGCUUGCUCUUAUGAAGUUAGCGGCGGACGGGUGAGUAACACGUGGGUAACCUGCCCAUAAGACUGGGAUAACUCCGGGAAACCGGGGCUAAUACCGGAUAACAUUUUGAACCGCAUGGUUCGAAAUUGAAAGGCGGCUUCGGCUGUCACUUAUGGAUGGACCCGCGUCGCAUUAGCUAGUUGGUGAGGUAACGGCUCACCAAGGCAACGAUGCGUAGCCGACCUGAGAGGGGGAUCGGCCACACUGUGACUGAGACACGGCCCAGACUCCUACGGGAUGCAGCAGUAGGGAAUCUUCCGCAAUGGACGAAAGUCUGACGGAGCAACGCCGCGUGAGUGAUGAAGGCUUUCGGGUCGUAAAACUCUGUUGUUAGGGAAGAACAAGUGCUAGUUGAAUAAGCUGGCACCUUGACGGUACCUAACCAGAAAGCCACGGCUAACUACGUGCCAGCCGCCGCGGUAA
rnacentral:rRNA from 1 species